UACGUAGGAGGCGAGCGUUGUCCGGAAUUACUGGGUGUAAAGCGCGUGUAGGCGGUGAGUUAAGUCUGUUGUGAAAGCGCCCGGCUCAACCGGGUCAGAGUCAAUGGAAACUAGCGCACUGGAGGUCGGUAGAGGCGAGUGGAAUUCCCGGUGUAGUGGUGAAAUGCGUAGAGAUCGGGAGGAACACCAGUGGCGAAGGCGGCUCGCUGGGCCGGACCUGACGCUGAGACGCGAAGGCGUGGGGAGCGAACGGG
rnacentral:rRNA from 1 species